rnacentral:rRNA from 1 species
AGCGAACGCUGGCGGCAGGCCUAACACAUGCAAGUCGAACGGAUCCUUCGGGAUUAGUGGCGGACGGGUGAGUAACACGUGGGAACGUGCCCUUUGGUUCGGAACAACUCAGGGAAACUUGAGCUAAUACCGGAUGUGCCCUUCGGGGGAAAGAUUUAUCGCCAUUGGAGCGGCCCGCGUCUGAUUAGCUAGUUGGUGAGGUAAAGGCUCACCAAGGCGACGAUCAGUAGCUGGUCUGGGAGGAUGAUCAGCCACAUUGGGACUGAGACACGGCCCAAACUCCUACGGGAGGCAGCAGGGGGGAAUCUUGCGCAAUGGGCGAAAGCCUGACGCAGCCAUGCCGCGUGAAUGAUGAAGGUCUUAGGAUUGUAAAAUUCUUUCACCGGGGACGAUAAUGACGGUACCCGGAGAAGAUGCCCCGGCUAACUUCGUGCCAGCCGCCGCAGUAACAC